rnacentral:misc_RNA from 1 species
UCCUGGUUAACCCAGGCAGUCUCAUUAGAGUCCCCACCUCGCGUGUUGGCAACUAAUGAUAAGGGUUGCGCUCGUUGCGGGACUUAACCCAACACCUCACGGCACGAGCUGACGACAGCCAUGCAGCACCUGUACAAAGUCCCUUACGGGAAUUGCCAUCUCUGACAACGUACUCUGUAUUUCAAACCCGGGUAAGGUUCUUCGCGUUGCAUCGAAUUAAACCACAUGCUCCACUGCUUGUGCGGGCCCCCGUCAAUUCUUUUGAGUUUCACCCUUGCGAGCGUACUCCUCAGGCGGUAUACUUAUCGCGUUCGCUUCGACACAGUCAGGGUUGAGCCUAACUACAUCAAGUAUACAUCGUUUACGGCAAGGACUAC